rnacentral:rRNA from 1 species
UACAGAGGGUGCAAGCGUUGUUCGGAAUUAUUGGGCGUAAAGCGCGUGUAGGCGGCAUAGCAAGUCGGGUGUGAAAGCCCUCGGCUCAACCGAGGAAGUGCGCCCGAAACUGCUGUGCUUGAGUACCGGAGAGGGUGGCGGAAUACCCCAAGUAGAGGUGAAAUUCGUAGAUAUGGGGUGGAACACCGGUGGCGAAGGCGGCCACCUGGACGGAUACUGACGCUGAGACGCGAAAGCGUGGGGAGCAAACAGG